rfam:Enterococcus sp. RIT-PI-f contig_11, whole genome shotgun sequence.
UUAGCUAUUUUAGAUAGGUUUGUAUUCAUGAAAGCAUGGAUGCAAACUACACGUUUGUAUCUAUGAUGGCUAGGGCAUUUCGUAAUGAAUUCGCAGCCACGUAGAUCGUAAAAUCUAUAGUGGCUAUUUUUUAUAUUCGCAUAUCAGCUGAUAUGUAAUGUUUAAAGAUGUUCACUGUAGAUUCUGACAAUUUAC